GACGAACGCUGGCGGCGUGCCUAAUACAUGCAAGUAGAACGCUGAAGGAGGAGCUUGCUUCUCUGGAUGAGUUGCGAACGGGUGAGUAACGCGUAGGUAACCUGCCUGGUAGCGGGGGAUAACUAUUGGAAACGAUAGCUAAUACCGCAUAAGAGUAGAUGUUGCAUGACAUUUGCUUAAAAGGUGCAAUUGCAUCACUACCAGAUGGACCUGCGUUGUAUUAGCUAGUUGGUGGGGUAACGGCUUACCAAGGCGACGAUACAUAGCCGACCUGAGAGGGUGAUCGGCCACACUGGGACUGAGACACGGCCCAGACUCCUACGGGAGGCAGCAGUAGGGAAUCUUCGGCAAUGGACGGAAGUCUGACCGAGCAACGCCGCGUGAGUGAAGAAGGGUGUCGGAUCGUAAAGCUCUGUUGUAAGAGAAGAACGAGUGUGAGAGUGGAAAGUUCACACUGUGACGGUAGCUUACCAGAAAGGGACGGCUAACUACGUG
rnacentral:rRNA from 1 species